rnacentral:rRNA from 1 species
AGACGUCUACAUUAGAUACCCGUGUAGUCCCAGCCGUAAACUAUGCGCGUUAGGUGUAUCGGUGACCACGAGUCACCGAGGUGCCGAAGGGAAACCGUGAAACGUGCCGCCUGGGAAGUACGGCCGCAAGGCUGAAACUUAAAGGAAUUGGCGGGGAGCACCACAACGGGUGGAGCCUGCGGUUUAAUUGGACUCAACGCCGGGAAGCUCACCGGAUAAGACAGCGGAAUGAUUGCCGGGCUGAAGACUCUGCAUGACUAGCUG